rnacentral:rRNA from 1 species
UCGCCUGGGGAUGAGCCUGCGUCCGAUUAGCUAGUUGGCGGGGUAAGGGCCCACCAAGGCAGUGAUCGGUAGCCGGCCUGAGAGGGUGGACGGCCACACUGGAACUGAGACACGGUCCAG